CUCUCAUUAUCUGACACAAAUCACCACGGCCAGGGGAGGCCAACAUCGAGGAGGAAGCGCGGCACAUAGAUGGCUCCGCCAAGCCGUGGACGCCGAGCAAGGAGGAGGCGCUGCGCACGGACGGCUUCGCCAACCGCCGCCGCAGAGCGAGGAAGAGGCAGUGCGCACGAACGGAUUUGCCGACAGCCGCCGUGUGGAGGCGCCACGGCCGGGCCUCCGCGGGGAGGCUGAUGCCGCCGAGCACCACCUCGGGAGGCCCCACGGCCUGGAGGUGGAUGCUCGACAGGAGGAAUCCGCCGCCGCGGAGCACGCGGCUAGGAGGCGCCUCGCUGGGACUGGGAGGUGGAGUCUCCUCCGCUCGUCGCCGGCACCUAUGCGAGGGAUGGGCGAGUAGGUGGACUAGCUCCAUGGGCGCGACGAGCUCCCGUGGCUCGUGGGCCUGCUCUGCGCCACCGUCUCGCGCAUGCGUGCGCUCGGGCUGGAGCUCGCCUUCCUCGACGCCGCCUCAUCCUCCCCCAGGUUGUCACCAUGUCCUUUCCUGCGCCGUCGAGGCACACAACCCUCGGAGUCGUUUAGUUUUACCGCUCGUGUGGCCACAGCCUCCUGCUUGUCGCCGCCAGGUGAGGUCCUAGAGGUGCUCCUCGCGGAGGGCUUCGUCAAGCGCCUCCAGCGCCCCAACCUUGGCGGCUUGCUCAUCGAACGAUGGUGAGCACGGCAUGGAGAGUGGUGGUGCUCUAGAGAUGGUGUGGUCAAUUUGGCGGAGGAGCUGCUGCCAGUACGAUCUACAUCGCUACUCCUGGUAGCAUCGUCCUGACAUCCACUAGAACGAAACGAUCGCAGAGUGAAAUAAAUCAAGGACUGAAAUAUUUUGGCUAAUGAUGUCGCAGAAUGUAGUGAAGACAGAAGAUACUCUAGUGAUUUUGACUACAGCCACAAUAGUGGAUUUUUACUUUUCUCUGACUUUGGUAUAACUUGUGAAACCUUCUUUUCCCCGUAGCAGUACUAGCUUGAAGGAAUCAUGAUGUACUAGAUUUAGAUGUGCGCCUUGGCGCACGGCCCCGUGGAUUUCACAUCUCAAUAGUAAAAAAUAGUUGAAAAAACGAUAAUAUUUAUAAAUUUGAAUUAUCCUAUUCAAAGUCA